GAAAGAUUCAUCGGAAGAGGAUGGGCAUGCGGCGCAUUAGCUUGACGGCGGGGUAACGGCCCACCGUGGCGACGAUGCGUAGGGGUUCUGAGAGGAAGGUCCCCCACACUGGUACUGAGACACGGACCAGACUCCUACGGGAGGCAGCAGUGAGGAAUAUUGGUCAAUGGGAGAGAUCCUGAACCAGCCAAGCCGCGUGAGGGAAGACGGCCCUAUGGGUUGUAAACCUCUUUUGUCGGAGAACAAAACCCGGGACGUGUCCCGGACUGCGUGUAUCCGAAGAAAAAGCAUCGGCUAACUCCGUGCCAGCAGCCGCGGUAAUACGGAGGAUGCGAGCGUUAUCCGGAUUUAUUGGGUUUAAAGGGUGCGUAGGCGGUCUGUUAAGUCAGCGGUAAAAUUGCGGGGCUCAACCCCGUCGAGCCGUUGAAACUGGCAGACUUGAGUUGGCGAGAAGUACGCGGAAUGCGCGGUGUAGCGGUGAAAUGCAUAGAUAUCGCGCAGAACUCCGAUUGCGAAGGCAGCGUACCGGCGCCAGACUGACGCUGAGGCACGAAAGCGUGGGGAUCGAACAGGAUUAGAUACCCUGGUAGUCCACGCAGUAAACGAUGAAUGCUGGUUGUCCGGGUCGAAUGAAACCUGG
rnacentral:rRNA from 1 species